rnacentral:lncRNA from 1 species
CUCAGAAAGCACCCCCACUGAGCACCUUGCGACCCCCACUCUUGCCCGCCAGAGAACAAACCCCCUUUGACUGUAAUUUUCCUUUACCUACCCAAAUCCUAUAAAACGGCCCCACCCUUAUCUUCCUUUGCUGACUCUUUUCAGACUCAGCCCACCUGCACCCAGGUGAAAUAAACAGCCAUGUAGCUCACACAACGCCUGUUUGGUGGUCUCUUCACACGGACGCACAUGAAAUUUGGUGCCCUGACUCGGAUCGGGGGACCUCCCUUGGGAGAUCAAUCCCCUGUCCUCCUGUUCUUUGCUCCCUGAGAAAGAUCCACCUAUGACUUCAGGUCCUCAGACUGACCAGCCCAAGGAACAUCUCACCAAUUUUAAAUCAGGUAAGCAGCCUCUUCUUACUCAUUCCUUACCUCCACUUUGAGACAAACCCCAGCCACAUCUCCAGCACAUAAGAACUUCCAAAUGUCUCAACUGCAGCGGCCAGGCGUUCCUCCAGAACCUCCUCCCACAGGAACUUGCUACACGUGCUGGAAAUCUGGCAACUGGACCAAGGAAUGCCCGCAGCCCGGGAUUCCUAAGCCGCAUCCCAUCUGUGUGGGACCCCACGGAAAAUCGGACUGUUCAACUCACCUGGCAGCCACUCCCAGAGCCCCUGGAACUCUGGCCCAAGGCUCUCUGACUCCUUCCCAGAUCUUCUCGGCCUAGCGGUUGAAGACUGACACUGCCCAAUCACCUCGGAAGCCCCCUAGACCAUCACGGACGCCGAGCUUCAGGUAACUCUCACAGUGGAAGGUAUACGCGCAUGAAAGGAAGAUUAAGAAAAACAAAAAAAUGUGAAACGACGAGGCUGAAUCCUGUUGGAGUGAUUUGUUCUUCGGACUUUGUAUCUUAAAUGAAAUCUUCUCCCUUAGAGGCCACAUAAACUGAUGGUACAAUCUGCAACUCUAAGCAAAUUCAUAGGUUAUACUUUUUCUUCUUCAUACUUGACAUUUGAACCUAGCAAGUUUGAAUAGCCUGUAAUUUGAAAACUCCCUUGCACAUCUAGCAGAUCAAGGUAGCUUGUUCUGCCUUCUGGACAAAUGGUGCCCUUAAGUCAGCUUAGGGAGACUGUUCCGAUAUCAAGAUUCUGUUUGAAUACUAUAUACUCUCAGCUGCUUAUUUAUUCAUAUAUAUAUGACACGUUUAUCAUGGAAGUAUUUCAAAACUAUCUGAAAAUGAAUAUUGAUUAUUAAGGCAUUCAGUUUUAGGAAGAAAACAUACAUAAAUAUAUGAUCUUCAUUAUUUUCCUUUCUCCAUGCAAUUUCAAUAGAUAUUUAUCAAGAACUCAAAAUAUGCCUAGCACUGCCUAGGUGUUGGAAACAUUAGAGAAAUUAAAACAGAUAAAUUCCUUCCUUUAGUAGACUUAGUCUAACUAAAUAAAUGAUUUUUAAAAGGGCAUAAUAAAUGGUAUAAGCAAAAGAAAAUGAAGGUGAGGGGAAUAGGGCAUGCCAAGUAGGGAGCUGCUAUUUUAAUGAGGCCUAGGAGAAAACCAUUUAUAAGGUGACAUUUGAGCAGAGACCUAAAGAAAGUGAGAAAACGUGAUACAUGUAUGUACAUGGAAAAAGAAUAUAAUAAGCAAAAAAAAAAAAAAAAAUGGAGGCCAAGAGGGAAUCUUAUGCAUUACACAGAUUUUGAACUAAAAGCAAGAAGGCCAUAAUGGCUAAAAAUAAAUGAGGAUUCAUUAAAGAGGGUGAAGAAUAUAGAGAGUUAGGACUAUUGCUGUGAUGUAAAGUCAUUGGAGAGAUGACCUGAGAGAUUAGAACCCUGGGGUAACUUACAUUUCAUUUGCUGUUUUAUUCCAAAGUGAUAUUCAUUAUCUAAAGAAAAAAAUCAAAUAUACAGAAAUGAUAAAAUACAAAACAAUGCUGACCUUUAAGAAACAUUGACCUAUAAAUACUAAGAUGUUAAAUAUUUGUUUCUUGUGAUUUGUAUCUUUAUUGAUGUGAUAAUUAUGUAUCUAUAAGUUUGUGAGUAAAAUACAUAACAAGCCUGGAAUGUAUUUUCUUUAUAAUUCACAUUAAUUUUUUGCACUAAAAUUCAAUCUAGUAAAUUUCCUGUUAUAGUCAAUUAAUUUUGACAACACAUAUUUUAAUGCUCCAUGGUAUUAACAACCCAUUAUGAUUUGCAUUUAAGAUUAUUUAGAGUAUUCAGUGUAAUAAAUAAUGCAAAUGUAGGCAAAAGCUUUUCCAUGUAUACACACACACUACACACUAUAUUUUUAAUUAUUUCAUUCACAUAGAUUAAAAUAAACUUUUGUUUAAUGUAAAACAAUAUUGAUGCUCCCAACUCCCUAGUUACUUUGUACAAUUUGCAUGCCUACCAGCAAUGAUGAAUAUCCUAAUUGCCUUAAACAUAUCUAUAUUAUGUCAAAUCUUUCAUGCACUUUCAGUGUCUGACUUCUUUAGCACUGAAGUUCAUGCUCAGAUUUAAAGGGCCUGUAUGAAUAGGUGAGGCCCACCUGAAUACUCUGCAGAUAACCUGAUUUGGUACCUUAAUUCCAUCUUUAAAAUCCUUUCUAGCAACACCUACAUUCAUGAUUGAUAGACUAACUGAGAGAAGGUAUAUACACCACGGACUGCGAAUUUUGGAGGUCACUUUAGAAUUCUGUCUACCACGGAUACAUUUGAAUAUAUCUGCACAUUUACAUAUAGUUGUCACCACAUUAAGGAAAAUUAACAUAUAGAUUACCCCGAAAAAUUUCCUCAAACUAUUUUAUAAUUCCUUAAUCCCACCCCUUCUUGCCCUCUUUACCACCUUCAAUUCUAGGAAACUGCACCUAUGCUUUUUGUCACUAUGAUUGGUUUGUUGUGUCUGAGAUUUUAUAUAAAUGUCACCAUACACUAUGCACUUUUUGUCUGACUUCUUUCAACUAGCAUAGUUUGAGAUUCCUAUAUGUUUUAUCUAUCAAUAGUAUAUUUUUAUGGCUGAGUCUUAUUUUAUUAUAUGACUAUAUUCACCUUCAUGACAAUAGACAUUAGGUUGUUUCCAGUUUGGGGCCUGAGAAAUAAAGUUGUUUUGAACAUUCAUGUACAAGUAUUUGUAAGGACAUAUGCUUUUAUUUCUUUUGCAUAAAUACUAAAAAAAAGAGUGGCUGGGCUAUAAGUGUGUUUAGCUUUUAUAAAAAACUGCAGGAUUCUCCAGGCUCAUCUUGUAUAUUUCAUGGCUCAGGCGCUGAAUCACCAUUUUCUCCAUGGAGCACUUGUACCUUGUAUUGGAGAAUAACAUCAGAAAUCAAGAUUUAGUUGUGUUCUCAAUUUCUUUAAAGUGUUUUCAGUUUUAAGUCGGAGCUUAAAUACUGAGUACACAUGGACACAAAGAAGGGAACAACAGACACAGAGGCCUGCUUGAGGGUGAAGAGCGAGAGGAGGAUGAGGAUCGAAAAACUACCUAUUGGGCACUAUGCUUAUUACUGGGUGACAAAAUAAUUUGUACACCAAACCCCCGUGACAUGGAAUUUACCUAUACAGCAAACCUUCCCAUGUAUUCCCAAACCUAAAAUAAAUGUUAAACAAAAAUCUGGGUGCUAGGUGUGCUAUUGUUACAAGAAAGUCAAUGUUUCUAGGCUCUGUUAACUGACAAAGUAAGGAAAUACAUACGCAAACACUAACUCAUGUAUACACUACACAUUAUCUAUCAUCUAUCUAAAUUUACAUAAGAUGAAACACGAAUUGAUACCGAUUUCUCCAACUCUAAUUGAAUACCACAUAUAUCAUUCUAGUAGUCUCAUCUUGCUGGUUUGUUACCUUCCACUGUAAAAGUGAGAAACCUGCAUUGUAUAAGAAGACUCUGUUCAGCUUUGAAAGAAACUGUAAAACCAUUUUCCAAAGUGGAUGUACCAAGUAUACAAUUUACUCAAUUAUUCAACUCAAAUGUACAUGUACAGGAUUGUUAACAUAUGCCCUGUCGGGACAAGAUAUGAACUUGUACAGUGCAGAGUUUAUGUAAAGAUUACAUUGCCUUCAGUCUUAACAGAAUCCACCCUUCUCCAAAGUUACUUAGGUCAGCACCAUUUGUGCAUUGCCUUCAGGUAGGUUGCUUCAUACAUUGGUAAAUACAGUUAGAUUCUUUUAUCACACUCAACAUUUCAUCCUGGGAUUCCUUGACUUCCUAUUUCUUAAUAAUUUGCAUAUAUCAGCUUUCAUGUCCUGUGCUGCAAGUGCAAUAGGUUUUGACAACUGCAAAGUAGUAUGAAUCCACCAUUAUGAUGUUAUACAGAAUAAUUUCAAUGCCCUAAGAAAAUGCAUGUGCUUCAUGAAUUCAACCUCUGCCCAAACCCUUGACAAACACUGCUUUCUUUAUAGUUUCUACAGUUUUGCCGAUAAAUUGCAAUC